UUGGAGGGCAAGUCUGGUGCCAGCAGCCGCGGUAAUUCCAGCUCCAAUAGCGUAUAUUAAAGUUGUUGCAGUUAAAAAGCUCGUAGUUGAAUUUCGGGGUUAGUAGGUUGGUCAUGCCACUGGUAUGUACUGGUCUCACUGAUUCCUCCUUCCUGAUGAGCCGUAAUGCCAUUAAUUUGGUGUUGCGAGGAAUCUGGACUGUUACUUUGAAAAAAUUAGAGUGUUUAAAGCAAGCUAACGCUUGAAUACAUUAGCAUGGAAUAAUGAAAUAGGACGUUCGAUCCUAUUUUGUUGGUUUCUAGGAUUGACGUAAUGAUUAAUAGGGAUAGUUGGGGGCAUUAGUAUUCAAUUGUCAGAGGUGAAAUUCUUGGAUUUAUUGAAGACUAACUACUGCGAAAGCAUUUGCCAAGGAUGUUUUCAUUAAUCAAGAACGAAAGUUAGGGGAUCGAAGACGAUCAGAUACCGUCGUAGUCUUAACCAUAGACUAUGCCGACUAGGGAUCGGAUGAUGUUAAUUUUUUAAUGACUCAUUCGGCGCCUUACGGGAAACCAAAGUGUUUGGGUUC
rnacentral:rRNA from 1 species